UCACUGCCGAUGAGUCCACAAUAGGACGAAAUGGCCGUCCAGUGC
rnacentral:hammerhead_ribozyme from 1 species